rfam:Salmo salar isolate Sally breed double haploid chromosome ssa16, whole genome shotgun sequence.
UGUGCUCACUAUUGUAAGUCGCUCUGGAUAAGAGCGUCUGCUAAAUGACAAAUG